rnacentral:rRNA from 1 species
GACGAACGCUGGCGGCGUGCCUAAUACAUGCAAGUAGAACGCACAGUUUAUACCGUAGCUUGCUACACCAUAGACUGUGAGUUGCGAACGGGUGAGUAACGCGUAGGUAACCUGCCUGGUAGCGGGGGGUAACUAUUGGAAACGAUAGCUAAUACCGCAUAAUAUUGAUUAUUGCAUGGUAAUUGAUUGAAAGAUGCUAUUGCAUCACUACCAGAUGGACCUGCGUUGUAUUAGCUAGUAGGUGAGGUAACGGCUCACCUAGGCGACGAUACAUAGCCGACCGGAGAGGGUGGUCGGCCGCACUGGGACUGAGACCCGGCCCAGACUCCUACGGGAGGCAGCAGUAGGGAAUCUUCGGCAAUGGGCGGAAGUCUGACCGAGCAACGCCGCGUGAGUGAAGAAGGUUUUCGGAUCGGAAAGCUCUGUUGUAAGAGAAGAACGGGUGUGAGAGUGGAAAGUUCACACUGUGACGGUAUCUUACCAGAAAGGGACGGCUAACUACGUG